rnacentral:sRNA from 1 species
GCUGGAUGCGGUGGCGCAUGUCUGUAAUCCCAGUGAUUCGGGAGGCUGAGGCUGGAGGAUGUCAAGUUGGAGGUCAGCCUCUG